rnacentral:rRNA from 1 species
UACGUAGGGUGCAAGCGUUGUCCGGAAUUAUUGGGCGUAAAGAGCUCGUAGGCGGUCUGUCGCGUCGGCUGUGAAAACCCGGGGCUCAACCCCGGGCCUGCAGUCGAUACGGGCAGACUAGAGUGCGGUAGGGGGGACUGGAAUUCCUGGUGUAGCGGUGGAAUGCGCAGAUAUCAGGAGGAACACCGGUGGCGAAGGCGGUUCUCUGGGCCUUACCUGACGCUGAGGAGCGAAAGCGUGGGGAGCAAACAGG